rnacentral:rRNA from 1 species
UGCAGUCGAGCGAAUCGAUGGGAGCUUGCUCCCUGAGAUUAGCGGCGGACGGGUGAGUAACACGUGGGCAACCUGCCUAUAAGACUGGGAUAACUUCGGGAAACCGGAGCUAAUACCGGAUACGUUCUUUUCUCGCAUGAGAGAAGAUGGAAAGACGGUUUACGCUGUCACUUAUAGAUGGGCCCGCGGCGCAUUAGCUAGUUGGUGAGGUAAUGGCUCACCAAGGCGACGAUGCGUAGCCGACCUGAGAGGGUGAUCGGCCACACUGGGACUGAGACACGGCCCAGACUCCUACGGGAGGCAGCAGUAGGGAAUCUUCCGCAAUGGACGAAAGUCUGACGGAGCAACGCCGCGUGAACGAAGAAGGCCUUCGGGUCGUAAAGUUCUGUUGUUAGGGAAGAACAAGUACCAGAGUAACUGCUGGUACCUUGACGGUACCUAACCAGAAAGCCACGGCUAACUACGUGCCAGCAGCCGCGGUAAUACGUAGGUGGCAAGCGUUGUCCGGAAUUAUUGGGCGUAAAGCGCGCGCAGGUGGUUCCUUAAGUCUGAUGUGAAAGCCCACGGCUCAACCGUGGAGGGUCAUUGGAAACUGGAG